rnacentral:sRNA from 1 species
AAACGCCAACAUCGAGUGAAGAAGAGAAGAGGGAAGAAGGUCAAGAGUGAAGCCACCACUCGCUCUCGAAUCGCGCGGACGCUGGGCCUGCGCAGGCCUGUUCACAGCAGCUGCAUCCCAUCAGUGUUGAAGCCAGUGGAGCCCUCCUUGGGGCUGCUGAGAGCGGAUAUUGGAGCUGCCUCUCUGUCUCUGUUUGGAGAUCCCUAUGAGCUGGACCCCUUUGACAGCAGUGAAGAGCUUUCUGCAAACCCUCUUUCCCCUCUGAGUGCCAAGAGACGGGCUCUGUCCCGGUCAGCCCUGCAGUCCCACCAGCCCGUGGCCAGGCCCGUCUCCGUGGGGCUUUCCAGGAGGCGCCUCCCUGCCGCGGUGCCAGAGCCAGACUUGGAGGAGGAGCCAGUGCCUGACCUGCUGGGCAGCAUCCUGUCGUGCCAGAGCCUCCUGAUGCUGGGCAGCAGUGAUGUCAUCAUCCACCGCGACGGCUCCCUCAGCGCCAAGAGGGCGGGUGAGUGCCUCCCCUGCCACGGCCCCUUCCUCUGUGGGCUGCUGGUCCUCAGGCUGUUCCCAAGCACUCAGCCCAUGUCUCAGUCACGGAAGAUGUAGCUGAAGUUGGGGGGACCAUUCCUCAGCCAUUUUUCUGCAUUGAUUUCCCUUUUUGAGCAGUUUCUCAGUUAGCUCCGAGUUCUUACCCAGCCCCACAGCUUCAUGUUCAUAAGAACAUGUCCUGAUGGGGUACUGCCCCCGCCCCUGG